rnacentral:lncRNA from 1 species
GAAAUUUGUGUGGACAGGAAGGCCGGAAAGAGCAAAUUACUUUUCACUCUCCACUACAGAUCUAUGUGUAGGUGCUACUGCUAACAACAGGAAUCCUGCACCAACCAAAGUUUGGAAGUACAUUAUCAAAGACUUGGUCGUUACGUACUUUCCAAAUGCAGCAGGUCUCUAAAUAGCAAUUUCCAUGGCAAAUAGUUUGUUGAUCUGUUCGUUAACAAUCUCUAUCCCUCGAAUAAUUUUGUUGCCUUUUCUCUAUUAGCAUUGCAAGGCAAAUGAAAAAUCCAAGAAAAAUACAGCUAUAUUCCUUGACAUUAGCACUCGAUCCGGCAGAACAUUUCCAAAGCAAAUUGAAAUGGAAUAAAAGAUCCCUCAACUAUAAAUAUGCCCGCCAAAAGACUAAGGCACACCAUGGAAUCAGGAGCCCUGCUGGAUUAGUAGCAAUAGAUGUCAAUAAGGAAGCUCAUAGUUAUAUAAAAUAGCAAUAGAUAAUUUUUUUGACGAAUAGAUCAACAAAAAGAUAAAAAAGCAAUAGAUAUAUUACUAGUCCCAACGAAAAGAUUGAUCACAUGACAGUCAUGAUAUGAGAAGAAAAAAGACAGAUGCAUCAAGUAGCGGAACGGGGCAAGAACACAACCCACUUUAUUUUUUGCAUGUAUUCUCAGCAUAGAUGAAUUAUACAAUUAGAAGAAAAAAUACUACCAUGAGACGGUACAUAAAAGAUCCCUUGCCAAACCCCAAGUAAAAGGCAACACAAUUGUAAGUGAGAGUAAUAAACAUGGUCACAAAGCUGAUGACACCUACAUUGGUAAUGGCCUAGCUCUCUACAGUUUUUGAUGAAGAUUUUGCCCCACGUUACUCACAAUAAGAAGGGAACAUUACCUACAGAUGCGAAAUCACUUUAGAGCAGCCGAAAGAUGAAGAUUUGAGCACCCACUCCACUACUCCUUUGGCAAAUUUUUGGUCAUUUCCACAAUCAAAUUAACAAAAAAUGGAAUGAUCCAAUGAGUCUACAGCACCAACAAAAAUGAAAUCAUGUGCAUUUGAUAGAAAUGUACAUAUGAAUAUAUCAACAAACUUCAACAAAUUGAUAUAUUGAACCCUUUAGAACUGUUGAUGCACAAAUAUUGAACCAUACAUAACUGGUGAUUAUUUGCUAGAUUUAGGUUAAUUAGCAUGAAGGUCAAGAUAAUGGAAUGAAGAAAGCAUUGUGAAUGAAAAAUCAGAAUAUGAUUUGGAAUCCCAUACGCUCAAAAGAACUCUGCAAUGCUGUGAAAAUAAAACCGUGUUUGAAUUACAAAGUUUCCUUAGAGGAAAACAUAUCUCCCAGCCCCCGCGUCGCUCCCAGGGGCGACACGGGAGGCGAAACCCUAGCCGCCGCCCAGGCUCCCCUCCUUCCCCUCCCUCUCCUCGCCAUCGCCGGAGGAUGCCAGCGGGCAAAGCCCUCACCGGUGGACGGCAGCGGUGGGGCACUCAUUCGUGUGCUCGCGCGCUGCUGCUGGGCGUGCUGAAGCGGCGGGAGCGCGCGGUGGCGCGGCAGGCGGCCGUCUUCUCGCGGGGAGGUCUAGAUGGUGUGGACUGCAUGCACGGUGGCGCUUCCAUGGCGGCUGCCGGCCGCUGAUGCGUGCGGCAGAGUUGAGGGCGCCCAGAUCUGGGCCGCACGAGCCCGCCCAGGCCCGCGACAAUCACUCUGCCCCCACCCACCCUUUUCCCUCCUCCCACCCUUCCCGGCCACCGCCGGCGGUUGCCGCUGGGUUAGUAAGCACGCGCGCGGUGACCCUAACGGUUGCUGCUCCACUGUGCCCCGGCGGAUCCUGGCAACGGAGGCUGAGGGCCAGCGCGGCGAUGGUGCGGUGCAGGUGGCUGCUGCCGCCUGCUGGACGCGCUCCCGAUGGUGCCCGGCCUGUUGGAGCUGCACUGGUCGGUGCCCACUCCUGCGACGACAACGUUUCUAGGCUUCCCCCAUGUCUGUUGGUCUUUUCCGACGAUUCUUCGCCAUGCCCGGUCUGCAUCUGCAUUUAAGGUCUUCGUUCUUGGGUGUGGGUGAAAUCCCCGUGCAGCGACGGCUUGCGCUGUCAACGGCAACGCCCGAGGGUGUCGUCACCUCCUUGGAGGCAUUGGCAUGACCUUGACCGGACCUCCUCCUCGAGCACCGGGAGAAAUCCUAGGUCCGGCCUCCCGGACCGGGCAGCGGCGGCGUCUCAACGUUGUUCCCCUCUUGAUGGCGCUGCUUUGGCUGCAAGUGGAGUACUUGAUGCGACAGACGGUGGUUGGCGAUGCAUCGCUCUGGCAUAGACUACUACACAAGGAGCAGGUCGCAAUGUUUGCCUGCACUGGCGCUCCCCAAUGAAUGCUACACCAGUUCCAAUCAGGCCCUGCCUUUCACCUGCCAACUCUCUAGGCACAUGGGUGCAAGGUACAUCGGCCUGGGCAGUCCUAAAGCUGCAUUCGUCCCUGGAAGUGUCUUGCAAUGGCAGUGAUGCUCCCUGUUGCUCCGAGUCUCGGUGCUUCUCCAUUUUGGCUGGAGGCAAGGCUGGGCGAGGCCUAAUGUCACUGAGUGUCUAUAGUUGAGGGCACCUCCUCACCUAGCUGUAGUCACUUGGUGAGGAUGGUCGUGUGUGUGUGUGCGUGUGUGUGUCCCUCCUUUCUGGAGGUUGUACCCCUGAUGUCUUCCUGUUCAAUGCAAUGAAACGCAACUCUUUUGCAUUUUCUCGGAAAAAACAAAACAUAUCUUACCAUCAUAUUGCAGCGAUGACGUAUUUUUCAAUCAUACAAAAACCAUUGGUUGUCAAUGUUAUACCCACACAUGGUGUUAAACGACAAAACAUUCUUGCAUUUUUAAUAUAUAAUCCAUGUCUUCAUCUGUUGGGGUGGCAAUAUAGAUCUCAAAGUUUGUUCGUACAGUGCCAAAAGAUGAGUGGAAUGACAUCAACUUCACUGAUUUAUAUCUUCUAUAUUUCAAAUGAAAGUGGUCAUGUGGACAAAGCCCCUAGCCAACUUCAUGAAAAAGAGAAUGGAUCUAUGCCGACACUGAAAUAAUCAUAAUGGUAUGGAUCAGUAAUCCUAUAAUUAUGAUACAACACGUGUUUUUGAGAUCAAUAUAAUGCAAGAGGGAACGCCAUAUUAACUUUUCAUGAACUGGCAGGCAUGCCACAAUUUUGGAGCAAUGGUGCAGACACCAACCUGAUGCUGAAGACUAUGGGAGCGAUGCCGCUCCACUAUCUGAAGGGAAAUUUCUGAGGGAGCAUGGGAAGUUGCCGAGAGGCAGCGACCUCGUCGCCUCUGGGCAGCAGGGAGGUGGUGGAGGUCGUCCUCAAGGAGACAGAGUCGUGGAGGU